rnacentral:rRNA from 1 species
CAUGGCGCGGCUACACAUGCAGUCGAGCGGAACGAGUUAUCUGAACCUUCGGGGAACGAUAACGGCGUCGAGCGGCGGACGGGUGAGUAAUGCCUAGGAAAUUGCCCUGAUGUGGGGGAUAACCAUUGGAAACGAUGGCUAAUACCGCAUGAUGCCUACGGGCCAAAGAGGGGGACCUUCGGGCCUCUCGCGUCAGGAUAUGCCUAGGUGGGAUUAGCUAGUUGGUGAGGUAAGGGCUCACCAAGGCGACGAUCCCUAGCUGGUCUGAGAGGAUGAUCAGCCACACUGGAACUGAGACACGGUCCAGACUCCUACGGGAGGCAGCAGUGGGGAAUAUUGCACAAUGGGCGCAAGCCUGAUGCAGCCAUGCCGCGUGUGUGAAGAAGGCCUUCGGGUUGUAAAGCACUUUCAGUCGUGAGGAAGGUAGUGUAGUUAAUAGCUGCAUUAUUUGACGUUAGCGACAGAAGAAGCACCGGCUAACUCCGUGCCAGCAGCCGCGGUAAUACGGAGGGUGCGAGCGUUAAUCGGAAUUACUGGGCGUAAAGCGCAUGCAGGUGGUUUGUUAAGUCAGAUGUGAAAGCCCGGGGCUCAACCUCGGAAUAGCAUUUGAAACUGGCAGACUAGAGUACUGUAGAGGGGGGGUAGAAUUUCAGGUGUAGCGGUGAAAUGCGUAGAGAUCUGAAGGAAUACCGGUGGCGAAGGCGGCCCCCUGGACAGAUACUGACACUCAGAUGCGAAAGCGUGGGGAGCAAACAGGAUUAGAUACCCUGCUAGUCCACGCCGUAAACGAUGUCUACUUGGAGGUUGUGGGCCUUGAGCCGUGGCUUUCGGA